AUCGGCCAUGUGCAUGUGUCACGACUAUAACGUUAUCCUCUGUGAAUACGGGACAAAGGAAAUUACUGCUGCCCCGCCGGGGGCCUGGUGCGGGUGCAGCGUGAGGCCGCUGGCGCAGAACGCGGAUCGGACGGGAUCAGCCGAGGACGGGACGGGACGGGACGGGACGGGGCGCUGCGUCCAGCGUGCGCGCGCGCGCGCGUUGGCUUUUUAGGGCGGAACCCGGCGGAAGGAUGGGAGCCGCAAAGCGCCUCCGACGCGCCGCUCCAGCGCGCUUUCAAAUAUCGAACAAUUUAAAACGUUGUGUUGGUUAAACGCGGAUGUUCACGUGACUAAAACGCGCGGCGCAUCUUGCCGUCCGCGUCCCCGGGGGCGCGUCUUCCACUCGGCGCGCACCCGGUUCGCGGUUUCGCAAUAGAAGUUGACGUUUUAUCCAAAGCCUCUUAUGGAUCCUCCGCGCGUCGCCGCGGAGGCGCAGUGGGCGGUACCGGCUCACCAGAAGGGACGUUUAUAACGAAGAUCUGAUGAUUAAUCGCAUCCUUUAACGGCGCGCGGGGACGUGCGUGCCGCGCACUCACCAGUUCACGUCCGUGUUGUCGUCUCUGACUUGGUUGUAAGCGUCUCUGCAAGCCUCUUUGUCGAUUUGGGUCGCCAUGUUCCCCCUCAGAGAGAAGUGGGAAGAGUGGAAGUCGCCGUCGUGUCGGUCCGAACCCGGAGAGCGCUGCUGGCACCGCGUCAAGGAGAAGCUCUCACGGGCGGGCGAUGCGCAUCGGGGGGUCCGCGGGUCUCGCUGCAGAGCUUCGCUCCCAAAAAAAAAAA